rnacentral:rRNA from 1 species
CCCAUUCCGAACACAGAAGUUAAGCUCUUUAGCGCCGAUGGUACUUGGUGGGAAGCUGCCUGGGAGAGUAGGACGUAGCCACGU